rnacentral:lncRNA from 1 species
AUGUGUGCUAGAUUAGGCAAAGAAAACGACUACAAAGAAAGAUCCCAAGCACAGUCCACCAAAGAAAAAGAAAAUGGGGCAAAAGCUUCUAGAGGUUUGGAGGAAACAAAGAAAAAGAACCUAAAACCAGAGGGAAAGGGAAAAGUAGAAGGGAGGAUUUCAGUGCUGCCCAAGCAGGGAUGGCUUUUACAGUGGACAACACCAUCAAUCCAGCACUUGGACUUACGAACAAUUCAGCUAGUAAGGAGCUUAACGACUGCCUGGAGGAAAUAUCCAAGGGAUCUAUACAAUAUACUGCCAUCAUCAAUCAAAGGGCUGACUCAAUUAAUUGAGCUUUAUUUAUACAGUAACAAAUUACAAGCUCCCCCAGCAGGGAUGGGCUGUCUAGUAAAUCUCCUGACACUUGGCUCUCAGUGGAAGUUCACUGACUAGUUUGCCUGAUUCUUGAAGCUGUGGAUGCUCGAUUUGGGGAAUUCCUUCAAUGGUGAUAGGCUUGAUUUACUCCCUGCUCUAUACUUUAGGAGAAGGACAUGAAAAAUCUGCCUAAACUCAGCACUCAAGAGAACAAAAUCCUAAACUAACAGUUAAAACUGGCAAGUUAUGUAGCUUUAUGCUGGAUGCAGCUCACAAUCAACUUGAACACUUUCCAAAGGCCAUUGGAAACUGCAUCCAGAUAACCAACCUUGACUUGCAGAACAAUGAACAAACAGACCUCCCACACCCAAUAUUCCUAUCAAACCAUCUUGGCCUGAGAUACAAUAGACUGUCAGGAAUACCCAGAUCAUUAGCAAAGUGCUGUAAAUCUAAGAAUUUGAAUUUAAAAAAUAGCAAUUUCUACACUAAAGAGUCUUGGUCUUCUAAAACUGAGUAGCCAGACCUUAGCUAGAAAUCCCUUCCAACUAUAUCCAGUGGGUCCAUCUGAGCUUUCCACAAUUUAUUCCCUUAACAUAAAUCCCAACUGAAUCCAAGGAUCUCAUUUUGAAAUCCUCUGGAGAGGUUAAUCCUAAAUUAAUUAAGUUGAAUAUGAAGACCAUCAGUUAACCUCACUUCUUUUAGAUUUGGGAACUUGGACAGUUAUGUCAGAACUGACUUUGGGCACUGACUGGCUCACCAAGUUCUCAGGGGAUGUGUCUGAACUUGUCUUCCAUGAGGUUCUAGUAUUAACAAACAAUUUUCCAAAGAUGCUUCCCCGAAAUCUUGGAAACCUUAGGAAAUUAAGAGAAUUGGGUCUAUGGGAGAACAAGCCAGAGCCCUUGACCAAUGAAAUUGCUUAUCUUAAGGAUUCACUGAAAUCGUUUUUGAUAUCAAGCAGUGCAGCAGUACUGAUAACCUUAUAGCUUGUACAUCCUAUCAUCAUCGGAGACGACCUGCUAUUCAUCUUCCUGAAAAACCUGGUACCCUGGAGAACCUGGAAGUACAUUUGAAUGACAAGUCCAACCUGCACAGCCUUCCCUUUGAGCUGGCUCUCCGCAGCAAGUUUUCAGUAUUAAGUAUUGAGUACUAUCCCCUCAGUCACCUUCCACCUCAGAUUGUUGCUGGUCUUCUUUUAUUAUUCAGUUCUUAAAGAUGCAGGGGCUGCCAGGCAUGG